rnacentral:ncRNA from 1 species
UUAUCUUCAGGGUCGGGUGCGAUUCCCUACUGGCGGUAAAGUCCGCGUGCCAUAUGGCUGAUCCGGUGAAACUCCGGGACCAACGGUUAAAGUCCGGAUGAAAGGAGAGA